AUUGAACGCUGGCGGCAGGCCUAACACAUGCAAGUCGAACGAGUGGCGGACGGGUGAGUAAUGUCUGGGAAACUGUCCGAUGGAGGGGGAUAACUACUGGAAACGGUAGAUAAUACCGCAUACCAUCGGAUGUGCCCAGAGGGGCUUAGCUAGUAGGUGGGGUAACGGCUCACCUAGGGGACGAUCCCUAGCUGGUCUGAAAGGAUGACCAACCCGACGGGAACUGGGAAACGGUCCAGACGCAGACGGGAGGCAGCAGUGGGGGAUAUUGCACAAUGGGCGCAAGCCUGAUGCAGCCAUGCCGCAUGUAUGAAGAAUGCCUUCGGGUUGUAAAGUACUUUCAGCGAGGAGGCGUUACUCGCAGAAGAAGCACCGGCUAACUCCGUGCCAGCAGCCGCGGUAAUAC
rnacentral:rRNA from 1 species